rnacentral:rRNA from 1 species
UACGUAGGGUGCAAGCGUUAAUCGGAAUUACUGGGCGUAAAGCGUGCGCAGGCGGUUUUGUAAGUCUGUCGUGAAAUCCCCGGGCUUAACCUGGGAAUGGCGAUGGAGACUGCAAGGCUAGAGUUUGGCAGAGGGGGGUAGAAUUCCACGUGUAGCAGUGAAAUGCGUAGAGAUGUGGAGGAACACCGAUGGCGAAGGCAGCCCCCUGGGUCAAAAACUGACGCUCAUGCACGAAAAGCGUGGGGGAGCAAACAGG